ensembl:lncRNA
CAGAGGUUGAGGAAUGAGCUGCACACCCUGUACAACAACACGUUGUUUUACAAGCCACCUGGAGACUUCCUACAGCUCCUUAUUGAGGAUGACCUACAGGGCACACUCUCCGAGAUCUACAAACUGCUGCAGCUCAUGCUCACAAUACCAGCCACCAGCACAUCAGCAGAGCGCUCGUUUUCCUGUCUGAAAAGGAUCAAAACAUACCUGAGGAACACAUGUGGACAGGACAGACUUGUGAACCUAGCGAAAAUUUCCAUUGACUCAGUAGUUGUGGAGGACCUGAAGGUCAAAGGGAAUUUCUAUGACAAAGUUAUGGACCACUUCGCCACCAUGAAAGACCGGAGAAUGGCCUUCCUCUACAAAUAGGGAUGGACACUGGGGUUUCAGCGGCCCUCACAACCCCCACCACCCCCCCUUCCCUGUACAUAUUGUAUAUAGUUGUAUUGUAUAUAGUUAUCUGCAAACCUAUGGUGGCAUCAUGCCUUCAGUGUGCAUAUUGUAUAUAGUUCUCUGCAAACCUAUGGUGGCAUCAUGCCUUCAGUGUGCAUAUUGUAUAUAGUUCUCUGCAAACCUAUGGUGGCAUCAUGCCUUCAGUGUGCAUAUUGUAUAUAGUUCUCUGCAAACCUAUGGUGGCAUCAUGCCUUCAGUGUGUCUUGAACAACCACACAAGGUUGCCCAUUUAUAUGAAUUUUGUUGAUGUAUUUGCACUUUUAAUCUUGCUGAAUUCCAC